GCUGAUGUAGCUCAGUUGGUAGAGCAGCUGAUUCGUAAUCAGCAGGUCUCCGGUUCAAGUCCGGUCAUCAGCU
rnacentral:tRNA from 1 species